rnacentral:snoRNA from 1 species
AUCCAUUUGUUGUUCAUGAGAGUGUGAUUGGGUGUUCACCAGCAUGUGUCAAAUGUGCCACCCUCAAAUCUUGUUUUGCACAUUACCCGUCUGACU